rnacentral:tmRNA from 1 species
GGGGCUGACUUGGAUUUCGACAGAUUUCUUGUCGCACAGAUAGCAUGCCAAGCGCUGCUUGUAAAACAGCAACAAAAAUAACUGUAAACAACGCAGAUUACGCUCCAGCUUACGCUAAAGUUGCGUGAGUUAAUCUCCUUUUGGAGCUGGACUGAUUAGAAUUUCUAGCGUUUUAAUCACUCCAUAACCUUAAGCUAGACGCUUUUAAAAGGUGGUUCGCCUUUUAAACUAAGAAAAAGAACUCUUGAAACUACCUCAAGGUUUUAGAAAGUUGGACCAGAGCUAGUUUUAAGGCUAAAAAACUAACCAAUUUUCUAAGCAUUGUAGAAGUUUGUGUUUAGGACAAGAUUUUUGGACUGGGGUUCGAUUCCCCACAGCUCCACCA